UACGGAGGGGACUAGCGUUGUUCGGAAUUACUGGGCGUAAAGCGCACGUAGGCGGAUUUGUAAGUCUGGGGUGAAAUCCCGGGGCUCAACCUCGGAACUGCCUUUGAUACUGCAAAUCUCGAGUCCGGAAGAGGUGAGUGGAAUUCCUAGUGUAGAGGUGAAAUUCGUAGAUAUUAGGAAGAACCCCAGUGGCGAAGGCGGCUCACUGGUCCGGUACUGACGCUGAGGUGCGAAAGCGUGUGGAGCAAACAGG
rnacentral:rRNA from 1 species